rnacentral:rRNA from 1 species
CCCUGGUAAUGUUGAGGUUCUAACUCUGUCCCGUGAUCCGGGACGAGGACCGUGUCUGGUGGGUAGUUUGACUGGGGCGGUCUCCUCCUAAAGAGUAACGGAGGAGUACGAAGGUGCGCUCAGCGUGGUCGGAAAUCACGCGUAGAGUAUAAAGGCAAAAGCGCGCUUAACUGCGAGACCCACAAGUCGAGCAGGUACGAAAGUAGGUCUUAGUGAUCCGGUGGUUCUGUAUGGAAGGGCCAUCGCUCAACGGAUAAAAGGUACUCUGGGGAUAACAGGCUGAUACCGCCCAAGAGUUCAUAUCGACGGCGGUGUUUGGCACCUCGAUGUCGGCUCAUCUCAUCCUGGGGCUGAAGCAGGUCCCAAGGGGAUGGCUGUUCGCCAUUUAAA